AUGUCCCGGCUUAACUACGGGAUCAUCUCCUUGAUCCCCAAGGUGCCGGGAGCCGCGGACAUUAGGCAGUUCCGCCCUAUCACAAUCCUCAAUGUGAUAUUCCGGAUUUUGGCCAAGGGGUACGCCACUAGGGCGGCCCUAAUCGCCCCCCGGAUCCACCACCCGAACCAGUCGGCCUUCACAAAAGGCAGGUAUAUUGUGGAUGGGAUCCUCGUUCUCUACGAGGUCAUCCAUGAGGUCAAGAGCAAGCAUCUUCGUGUUGUGUUCUUCAAGAUUGACUUCCAUAAAGCAUACGACACCGUCCAUUGGUCCUUCCUUUGGGAGGUGUUGCUCAAGCAUGGAUUCCACUCCCACUGGGUUGCCCGGGUGAUGCAGCUAGUGACGAGUGGCCGUACGGCUGUGAACAUCAAUGGGGAGAUCGGGCCUUACUUCAUGAUUGGCCAAGGAGUACGGCAAGGAGAUCCGAUCUCCCCAUUUCUUUUCAACCUUGUGGUCGAUGCUUUAGCUUCGAUCCUAGAUUUGGCCAAAUAG
rnacentral:rRNA from 1 species